GUUCAAGUUAUCAUUCAUAUUAGAAAGUCAUGUGAUAAACUACUUCAUACGAGCAUACACAUAAAACGAUAAUGUCCUCAAAACUUAAACAUGAUUGCAAAAAUGUCAUUUCAGGAUGGAAUACAAUGCUCAUUACUUUCUCAGAUUUUUUAUUUUUUUAUUAAAGAUUAAAGAACGAAAAAGAAGCAACUGCAAAGAUAUUUUACAUAUCGUUCAAAAAGAACAAACUCGCCCUCAAACAAUCCCGUAUGGUUUGAUUACUCCGAGUUCACCUCGAAGAAAAGCAAACCGAGAAGAAUCCAAUGGUUUAGUAAAAAUGUAUGCCAAUGACGUUCAGUAUCUAUAAAAUGUAGCACAACAUGUCCUUUUUCAACGUGAUCUCAAAGAAAAUUAUAUCUUAUAUAAUUUUGCACAGGGUUUUUAGCAAUACAUAUAACACUAGUGUUAUCAAAAAUAAAGUGGCACACUUUUUAAAGUAAACCCA
rnacentral:lncRNA from 1 species